UACGUAGGGUGCGAGCGUUGUCCGGAAUUAUUGGGCGUAAAGGGCUCGUAGGCGGUUUGUCGCGUCGGGAGUGAAAACGCCGGGCUUAACUCGGUGCUUGCUUUCGAUACGGGCAGACUAGAGGCAUGCAGGGGAGAACGGAAUUCCUGGUGUAGCGGUGAAAUGCGCAGAUAUCAGGAGGAACACCGGUGGCGAAGGCGGUUCUCUGGGCAUGUCCUGACGCUGAGGUGCGAAAGCGAGGGGAGCAAACAGG
rnacentral:rRNA from 1 species